UGCUUCUAAAUAUUAAUGAGAUGCAACUUACGGAAUUGGCCGGCUAGCCUCCGUGAAGCUAUCCUCCAUCUUCUUGAACUUCUCAGCGGGUGCUGCAGCAGUAACUAUCUUAGCGGCUAUCUUGUAGGCCAAUAGAUGUGUAUCAAAUUUCGCCUUGUCUCCCUUGGCCUUCUUCAUCGUGUCCAUAGCGAGGAGUUCCUGCUUUGCAACAGCCCCGGCUACUUUNNN
rnacentral:lncRNA from 1 species